rnacentral:rRNA from 1 species
UACGGGGGGGGGCAAGCGUUGUUCGGAAUUACUGGGCGUAAAGAGCGCGCAGGCGGUCGUUCAAGUCGAGUGUGAAAGCCCCCCGGCUUAACUGGGGAGGGUCAUUCGAUACUGCUCGACUUGAAGGCAGGAGAGGGAAGUGGAAUUCCGGGUGUAGUGGUGAAAUGCGUAGAUAUCCGGAGGAACACCAGUGGCGAAGGCGACUUCCUGGCCUGUUCUUGACGCUGAGGCGCGAAAGCUGGGGGGAGCAAACGGGG